CAUUUUAGACACAUGCUAAAUAUACACUUUCUCUUUUUCUAUGGUUGAAGAGCUGAGAAGAGGUAGACCUGGAACUGAGAGCUGUAUUUAGACACAAUGCCUUCCAGAGAAAGAAGCCAACAUGGAGAGAAGCAGAUGUUCACGAGAGAAGAACAGAUCCCAGGUAGCUGUUGGUCCAAGGGAAAUGGAAGAUGAGUGGAGCUGACCUGAACCCUGACCUGUGUCCUGAAGCAGAGCUCCCUGACGCUACUCUCAGGUCUGUAAGAAAGCAAAUGAAUGUUUGUUUUUAAGUCAUUACAAU
rnacentral:lncRNA from 1 species